UAGCCGUAAACGAUACUCGCUAGGUGUCGGCCACGGUGCGACCGUUGUCGGUGCCGUAGGGAAGCCGUGAAGCGAGCCACCUGGGAAGUACGGCCGCAAGGCUGAAACUUAAAGGAAUUGGCGGGGGGAGCACAACAACGGGUGGAGCCUGCGGUUUAAUUGGAUUCAACGCCGGAAAUCUUACCGGGACCGACAGCAACAUGAAGGCCAAGCUGAAGACUUUGCCGGAUUAGCUGAGAGGUGGUGCAUGGCGUAGUCGUGU
rnacentral:rRNA from 1 species